GAGGCCAGUGUUGAUCAGUGACUGUCCAGGACUUUCAGAGACACUGACACGCCGGCAGCAUGAUGAUGAUGUCACUGAUUCUACUGCUGGCCACCCUGGGGCUCCUUGUUCAGGGUUCAUCAGGAGAAAUCAUCCUGACUCAGUCUCCUGGAUCUCAGUCUGUUGCUCCAGGACAGUCUGUCUCUAUCAGAUGUAAAGCCAGUUCAGCUGUUAGUACUAGCGUACUCAGCUGGUACCUUCAGAAACCUGGAGAAUCUCCUAAACUCCUGAUUUAUUCAACUUCAACUCUUCAGUCUGGAGUUUCAGAUCGUUUUAGUGGAAGUGGAUCAAACACUGACUUCACUCUGUCCAUCAGUGGAGUUCAGACUGAAGAUACAGCAGUUUACUACUGUCAGCAAUAUCAAAGCUAUCCAGUCACACAGUGAUACAACGUCGUACAAAAACCUCCUCAGCUGGAGAGGAACUGAUCUGAUUCAACAGCUGCACUGAAACUAAAACACAAGUUUGACUGA